UUUAUGAUUAGUUGUAAUUAAUUUAAUUAUGUGUUAAUUAAGAUUUAUUAAGACUAAGUGUUAUUUAAAUUAAGCUAAUCUUAUUCAUGAAUUAAAUUAAGAAAGAAUCUAGAAUUGUGAGUGUGUGUGGGUGUGGAGAGAAACCUGUGUGGGUGUGCUGAGAAUUCUGGUCAUACAAGUGUGUGUAUACGUGUGAUGUUGAGACAAAGGUGUGUGUGUGCUGGUGAGUUCUAAAAUCAAUGAGAACAAAAGAAAAACAAAAAGAAAAAGGUGAACUCAAUAUGUUGAAUAGGAAUUAAUGGAAGCAAGAAGAACCGAGAGACAGAGUUAGCUGCUGGAAAUCCAACUCAGGAGUUCAAGAAGAAGAAGAAAUAAGGAAGGAAAAGCUACGAAAGGUGUGGAAUUAAAGGGGAGUUCAAGAAUUUAUCAUAGAUUCAUCAAAUUCAAGAGUUUAGGUCACGCACUAUCGUUUGCCUGAUCUAUCUGAUUUGUUUGUACUAUCUGGUCUGCUAGCGAAGCCAUCAGUGAUCAGACGUGUAACCAGGCCUAGAGCUUCUGCUUGGACUUUGUUUUGUCAGCCAACCUAUGUGCCUCCCGUGGAGGUUCUGGAUAUGUCAAGUGAUUAUGGUUAUGUGAUUAAAGUUUAAGUUUUGUUUUCUUGAUUGGUUAAACAAGUUUUUGUUUAUUUUGUAAAUAGGGCUAAGUUCCUUUUUGUCUAGCUUAUAUAUAAAUGAUGAUGUGUAAAAUGAAUGUAAAGUUUAAAAUUUUUCUGUCUUAUACAAGUCUGCACAGCUCAAUG